rnacentral:rRNA from 1 species
UGGGGAAUAUUGGACAAUGGGCGAAAGCCUGAUCCAGCCAUGCCGCGUGUGUGAAGAAGGUCUUCGGAUUGUAAAGCACUUUAAGUUGGGAGGAAGGGCAGUAAGCGAAUACCUUGCUGUUUUGACGUUACCGACAGAAUAAGCACCGGCUAACUCUGUGCCAGCAGCUGCGGUAAUACAGAGGGUGCAAGCGUUAAUCGGAAUUACUGGGCGUAAAGCGCGCGUAGGUGGUUCGUUAAGUUGAAUGUGAAAGCCCCGGGCUCAACCUGGGAACUGCAUCCAAAACUGGCGAGCUAGAGUAGGGCAGAGGGUGGUGGAAUUUCCUGUGUAGCGGUGAAAUGCGUAGAUAUAGGAAGGAACACCAGUGGCGAAGGCGACCACCUGGGCUCAUACUGACACUGAGGUGCGAAAGCGUGGGGAGCAAACAGG